ensembl:lncRNA
CCACAAAUAGCCAGUUAAUAGGUAUCAAAUCAUCCAUCUGGCUCUCAAGGCCCUUGGCAUGUCACUCUUUUCUCUCCUCCACGUCCUUGAGAACAAACACAGUAGGCUCAACGCCAUGGUCAGUACAGCACAGGAGACCUACAUGCAAUGGCACUCUUUUUGCUGACCAUGAUCCUGAAGAACUUAAGCAUUUAAAGCCCAGAGGCUCCGGACACUGCCGAACAGGAAGCUCUUGGCAGGAGCACAGGGCUGGUGCUCCAUCUGUCCAGGAGGAGCUUGCAGGAGAGUUGGUUCAUGAUGACACAACUCAGGGAUCUUCUGCUCCCAUCUGAGGGAAAGUGCUCCAGCAUGUGGGUCAGAAGAAAUGUUUUCAAGGAAAUUUUGGAAAGAGCAGUUUAUGAGUCAAGACACAAUCUCAAAACAAUCAAAACCAUUUGUUUUGCAUUUUCUUCAACCUGAAAAUAUCUGACACUGACGCUAGAAGAGCUGGAAAAUCUCCCGCAAGCAUCCUGCAGAACUUGGGAGAGCUGUACUUAUGAAAUGAUGAUUCUGGGAAAUCAAGGAAAGAUGUGCACUUUUACAUUUAGAAGGUUGUGUGUGUUGGGGUGUGUAAUACACACAAAUGCGUAUGGGCAGAAUCCACAGAAGAUGCUGGAGGCUCAAGACUUAUUUAUUCAGGCUCACAAGAACACUGCUGGGGCUCUGCAUGAGAACACUGGAGGAAAAUCUUUCACUCACAGGGCAAGAGGAACUGACAGGUCCCUAAUGGUGUUAUUUUACGUGAAAAAACAUAAUCAGAAGUAGCAUUAGAACCACAGCUGACGACGGACGAUGGAUAACGUGAUUCUAGUCCUUACUCAACACCUGUUCCCCACAGGCUACCCUGUCUCCUGGGGACCAGCAGUACCUACAGGUGCAUCAACAACCAAAGGAAUUCUGUGAGAGAUCUAAAAUGUGAGGAGCAAAAUGUUCUUAAUUUCUCAAGAACACAAAUAAACAAUAGAGUUUAUUCACUCCC